rnacentral:rRNA from 1 species
CAGCAGCCGCGGUAAUACGUAGGUGGCAAGCGUUGUCCGGAAUUAUUGGGCGUAAAGGGCUCGCAGGCGGUUUCUUAAGUCUGAUGUGAAAGCCCCCGGCUCAACCGGGGAGGGUCAUUGGAAACUGGGAAACUCGAGUGCAGAAGAGGAGAGUGGAAUUCCACGUGUAGCGGUGAAAUGCGUAGAGAUGUGGAGGAACACCAGUGGCGAAGGCGACUCUCUGGUCUGUAACUGACGCUGAGGAGCGAAAGCGUGGGGAGCGAACAGGAUUAGAUACCCGUGUAGUCCCUGUCUCUUAUAC